rnacentral:lncRNA from 1 species
UUGGACAUAGCUGGUCUUCCUGUGAAAAAACACUCUUUCAAUGCAGUUAAUGCUCAUGAAGCAGAGUCGCCCAUGGUGCGUAAGCCUUUCUCGCCCAUAUCUUCCACAGAAUCAUCAAAGGCUAAUGCAGCAAACUUUUUGGAAGACCUGAACAGAAAACAAAACGAGACAUCACAGAAAACAAUUCCAAGCAACAUUACGCCAUUGGCUACUCCUUCCAAGAUGAUUUCUGCUACAGCAGAGGAAGAGAACAGGACACCUAAAACAAUGGCAAUGCCUGUACCCUCUACUACACCUUCAACAGUAUCAAUUCCAAUGCAAACACUCAUGACUCCAGUUGCUUGCCGUGGUGCUGCUGCUACUCUGAUUAAAGAGAUUCAUGAAGAGAUUGAAUACUCAUUUGAGGAACGAAGAGCAGGGUUUGUGCUUGCCAUAACAACACAUCCCAAACCAGUGUUACAAGUUUGAUUAUGCAAAACUUUUGGUGAUUUUGAUAAAUAUAUUGUUGUUACUGCAUGAUUUGGUGUACUGUUUUGAAUAUUCAAAAUGUGAUUGGUGAAGAAGAGUCAAUACUAAUUGGCUUCUCUAAUGUUUUUAGAUAUUUGAUUUGUGUCGUCUUUGAUAUCCUAUCCAAGUUUGAAGUAAUAAUGAUUUACUUAACUGAAAUGCUAAUAACAUAACAACAUGCUCGAAAUUACAGGUUUUCAAUGGAAGCACUAAAUGCUCCUCCUCGACAAAAUGACCCAGCCAGCCAGCCAGACAGUCUCUUUUAACAUUUGCAUGAAAUUCUUCUAUUUUUGAAUUACGUGAGUCUGAAAGAGAGAGAGCAGGAGAAGAAGCACUAUUUGAUGUGCCUAGCCUAACCCCCCCGCAGUCAGUCUAGCUCUGGCACAAUACUUAAAAUGGCAUCAACAGUAAAUAUCCUAAUAUGAAAGGGCAUAUAAAUUUAUGUUGUCAACUUUAAUUUUACCUGAAAAGACAAAGAACCGGUCAAAGCUUGGAAAAUAGGCAUGGCUCUAACGUUACUUUACAGCUUUAAUUAAUUAAAAUAAUUUAAAACUAAAAUAAUUCUCUUUUCCAAAAUAUCUUAUUUCACAUUCAUUUUACUUUACUUUUUCAUUAUUAAUUCCCUUUUAUUAAAUUUCCAAGACGGACUUGAAAGCAUUUUCUUAACCAAAAUCAAUACUUCGAAUUUUGCAAUUUAAAUAUUAAUUAUUAAUUAAAUUUGGAAUAUUUAAUUACAUUUCUAAUUUAUUAACAUUCAUUUUUCAACUUUAUUUUCCUGAUCUCCUUCUUUUUCCAGCAAAACCCUAAUUUCAUUUCAUUGAAGAAUUUCUGAAACCAUCAGAAAUUUAUUUAUUUUCAUAUUUUUUGUGAAACAAUUUUCACCAUUGAAGCUCUGAGCAUACUUUGCAGCGGCAAAUAUUAAGCCAUAGUACAGUAUUUGUUACUCUUAAUUUUAACUGUUGACUUUUUUCAAGUCAGAUUGUGAUCUUCGCAGAAUCAAGGCUCUGUUUGCUUGAAAUUGUUGUGUUUGAACUCGGCUGAUUCUGUUACUGUUGUUCACAAAAGAUUUCAUCUUUUUUUCAUUUUUAUCCUGAAAUGUUGACUGAAAGAUGGUUGUUUUGGAGUAUUUUAUGCUAAAAAAAAUUUGGACUUUGAUUUUGGUUUAAGUUUCUAGUGUUUUGUGGGUUUUAGAUAUUUUGUAUUUUUGUUUUACUUUUGAGGCUUAAUCGUGUUCUUUGAAUGGAGGGGAAAGAAGAUUUACAGAGUUCUGGGGUCAUGAAAGGAGAUGAAGUUCCAGAUACCUACCGGGUUGCAGCAAGGAGUGAAAAUCCUGUCCAAUUCAGUGAAUCCACAACUCCGGUGCUCCCAUUCAGUGCAUCCACAACUCUGGUAGCAGCGACAGCACCGAUAGCAGUGUUAGCACCACCAGUGGCGGCACAACCACAAGCAAUGGCAGCACCGCCCGCAACACCGGUCAGCGGGGCGACGCCAGGCACGGAACUGAAGAAGAAGAGGGGGAGACCGAGAAAGUAUGGACCUGAUGGAAAGC